UACGUAUGGAGCAAGCGUUAUCCGGAUUUACUGGGUGUAAAGGGAGCGCAGGCGGCUUUGCAAGUCUGAUGUGAAAGGCCGGGGCUCAACCCCGGGACUGCAUUGGAAACUGUAAAGCUAGAGUGCCGGAGAGGUAAGCGGAAUUCCUAGUGUAGCGGUGAAAUGCGUAGAUAUUAGGAGGAACACCAGUGGCGAAGGCGGCUCACUGGACGGCAACUGACGCUGAGGCUCGAAAGCGUGGGGAGCAAACAGG
rnacentral:rRNA from 1 species